rnacentral:rRNA from 1 species
AGCUCCAAUAAGGAAAACUAAAGUUGCUGUGUUUAAAAAGCUCGUAGUUGAAUUUCGGGUAUUUGUUGCUAGCUGGUCUCAAUGGCCAUGUUGGUUUAACAGAUCCUCAUUUGCUGGACCGAUUGAUGAUGAUCUUUAUCGGUUGUCAUCAGUUGCCAGAACGUUUACUUUGAGAAAAUUAGAGUGCUAAAAGCAGGCUCACGCCUAUAUAUAUUGCAUGGAAUAAUGAAAUAAGAUCUCGAUUUUAUUUCGUUGGUUUUAGAAAUUGAGAUAAUGAUUAAUAGGAUCAGAGGGGGGCGUACGUACUGUGGUGUGAGAGGUGAAAUUCUUGGAUCGCCACAGGACGAACAGCAGCGAAGGCGUUCGCCAAGAAUGUUUUCA